UCUCGCCCACCUAUCCAGGCCUUACCCGCUGGGGUGGCCCCGGGACGUCUCCCUGGUUACGCCGGCUCUGUCAUCCACUUUUUUCUCGAUUUCUCUGAGAAAAGAGCAUUUUUCAAUCAAAACCCCAAGAGAGAAUCAGUCAGAAGGAACGAAGCCAGCAGCUCCACCCACCGAGGACGGCUGCGCCGCGGAUCCGGGAGCUCCAGAGUGGGCCCCGACGCUGGUGCAUCCCUCCCCUUCUUCCGUUAGACUCGGCUGGAAGCCGGUGGGACGAUUGCGCGUGCGCCACACCGCCUGCUCGGGUGGCCAGGCAGGCGCGGAAGCCUGACUGCGCACGCGCGCGCGCCGGCCGCGGCUGGUUGCCUGGUGACGCGGGAGCUUCGGCUCGGGUUCUGCGCUCCAGGCUGCUUAGGGCUAACCCGGCUCGUGAAGGUGGGCCUCCUUAGCGCUCUUGGCGGUGCUGUAGGACGCCCGCCGGCCCUCGGCCAGCAGCCCCCCGGGGGGCCCCGGAGCCUUGUGGCGCCCGGCCCGGCUGCAGCGUCCUCCCAUGCCGCCCCGACCUGACUCCUCCCGGGCGAGGCGCGGUCCUCUCUGCGCCCUGAGUCGCAGUCCCCCAGACGGAGCGCGGAACCCGGCCGCCUAGCAGGGGGGCUCGUAGAACGCGAGAUAGCCGGUGGCACGGUGAAGUCCCUGAGCGGGCCGCCCCCCGGCGGCUCCUCCCAUCGCCUGCCGGGUGCCCAGCUCCAGCCCUCGAAGGCUCUGCAGUGAUGUAGGGAGGCCGGAGUCCUGGAGGCAGCCUUGGGUGCCUGAGACGAGCAGAAGAGUUGCAUGGGGCAGACAGGUGGGAAGAGCCGACUCUGGAUGAACCCCCUGGACAGGAACCCAGCUUAACUUGCUCAGCAUCCACAGCACCCUCAGCCACUGCAUCUGUCCAGCAGAUAAGCACAACUAACAGCAAGGCCAGAGACUUCUGCAGCCUGGGAGGCAGUGUCCUCCAUUCGCCAGGAGCUCUGAUGACUUUGGGAGCAGACAGGUUCUUAAGAGCAGCAGGGCCCCUGAGGCCUGUCCUUGCAUCCAUGGGACAAACUUCAUGGAGCGCAUACACUGCUGGAGGCUGCUCUCUUUUGGGAACAAUGUAUUGUGCCAGGCAUGGUGUCCACCCUGUGAUCUCAACUGCUCAGGAAGCUGAGGCAGGAGGAUCACAGGCUCAAGUCAACAGCUUAGUCAGACUGUCUCAACAUAAAAAAGAAAAAGGGCUAGAGUUGUGGCUCAGUGGUAGAGCACCCCUGGAUUCACUGCCUUGUGCUACAAAAAUGAGUAAAAAAAUAUUGUUUUGUGGGGAGACCCACAGAACGUAAGGUGAACCGUGCUGCGCAGUCGAGGCGCUGUACCACCCCCUCCACCGCAGCCUCCUGUCACCCCAAAGCCAGACAAGAGCUAUCAAGCAGUCCCUCCCGCUCCUCCACCGUGGGAGCUGCCCCCCAUCAGGUGGUCUUUGUCACAGCUCCCUUCACUAGCCACAGUGUCUCAGGUUUCAUCCAUGUUGUAGCAGGUGUCAGAGCUCCGUCCCUUUCUAUGGUUAGAUGAUAUUCCACUGUAUUUUUAUUGGUUUGGUUGUCCAGAGAACAGACCCAUGGGAUGUACACACAGAGGGAAAGAGAUUGCUCAUAGGAACUGAUGCAUGCUGACAAGUCCCAAGAGCUGUCCUCAGCAAGUCAGAGGCCUGGGAAAGGUGCUGCGAUGGCUUUCAGUCCAAAGCUGGCAGGAGUCUGGAGUCUGUGGGAAGAAAGCGGUGUGGCUCAGCAGCUGGUGCUGAGCUUCUUACUCUGCCUUUGAUCUACUCAUGCCUUUAGCUGAUUGGAUGAAGCCCACCCACAUUGGGGAGGGCCCUGUUUUUCCUCCUCUACAAAUGUAAACAUCAGUCACCCUCAGACAUACCUUCAGGGACACACUUGGAAUGUAUGCCAAAUGGCCCAGCCAAAUUGACACCUAGGAUUUCCCAGCACAGCAAGGACAGACUACAUGCUGUUUGCAUCCCUUAACUGACACUAGACACCUAGCUGUCUGCGCUGGUGUGGACACAGCUGCAGAGAGCACACGCCAAGAAGUGGAAUUUCUGGGUCUGGGUCCUGGGAAUUCUUUGGGCAGAGUUCAGGCUGAGUCCUCCCUCUGGAAAAUGAGAAUCAGACCACUUGCCACAAUUCUGAAUGUGGCACCCCUUCCAAGAACCUCCCACUCUCACUCUUCUGGUGGGCAGCACAGUGCCCAGAAGGGACAGGGCAUCCCAACAUGGUGGGGAAACCUUGGGCUCACGCUUGUUCUCUGAGAGCCAGGCCCAGGAUGGGCAGCACUUGGCAGUCUAAGAGGGAACGUAGCUUUGGUCUGUGACUCCCUCAAGGUGUGGGCCAGUGCAGUUUAACCUUCCCUUCUCCAGCAUUCUUUCUGGAAUUUGAAAAGAAAUCAAUAAAUAAGGGCAGAAGGGAGCUUGCACUGUGCUGGGCGCUGCACCCCUGGGUACCUGACAUGCUGCCCCUACUGCCCACCAGCACACCCCUUCUGGUCCCACAGGGCUUUCCAGACUCACAGGCCAUAUCCACACCGCCCACGCAGACAUGCUGUGGCUUCCAUGGGUCUUCCUUGGGGCUACAGUCCUCACUGGGGCCAUAAGACCCCUCCUCACAUCCCCCCUACCUGCCGCAGGACUCCCUGGACUGUCCCCAGGAUGGACAAGGUGAGGGAAGAGCUGGUGGGGACUCCUGCCCAGGGUGUUCCCUCCAACAGGCUACCUAUGCCUUGCUGGCAGCCAGGUCCCCACCUCCACCAGCACCUGGCCUCGGCGGGGGCUGACACCCAUGGGGUCUACAGAUGGUGUGGUCCCCAGUUCCCCUGUGGGCCAUGACUGGACUCUCCUGUCAGAAAGACCCAAAGACUCCUGGCUAUCUCCAAACAGGACAGCCCCAAGAAAGCGAGUCAGAUGACACCAAGUUUAGCAAAAUCUGGAUGACCUAAUGGUCAUCAUUUUU